ACGAGCUAUCGAGUUUCGUGUUUUCCGUCCAGGCCUACAUACAGUCCUCCUCCUAUGAGAAGGAAAAAAAAAAGAGCUUGAUUUGCGUCUCCGCCGAGCGCAGGAGUAGCAGAUCCGCUGCCGGUGCAGACUCGGCAACUGGGCCUCGGCUGGCAGAGAAGGGGAGCGACGACGAUGGUCGCGGAGGCACGCGCUUGGCUUCUGCAAUGUGGAUUUGUAGGAGACGACGUCCCCGUCGACAACGAGGUGCCACUGCACCUUGCAUUGCAUUUCUGAGCUACCACAUUGCUUUGUCAAAUGAUCUUGACUAUUAACUGAAGGGUGCAAACUCUCCUUACUGUCCUUUGAGGCUUCUCUGAUGCUUUAUACUGCUUAUGUUUUUUAGGUUAUGCCCACUUCUUUCUCUGCACUCAAAUUCUGUUUCAGAAGCUUUAUUACCUCGUACUGUAUGGUGAAAUUCAAG